CAUGUUAUCCGGAAGCAGUCAUGUCGGGGCAUCUGCACAGAACGUGAGAAUCCUCCUCGGCCCAGCUGGAGUCCGGGGGGGUCCGACAACUGACUUAUCGAACCCGAAGACUGACGUGAGCCGUGCUCGCAGCUGCGUGGGGAUAAAAAGCCGGCAAUACCAGAGUGAUGGGGGAGUGGGCACUCACACUUGGGAGAGUGGCCACUUGGUGAUGCAAGCUGCAGGUCUCCCAGCGCUGUGUGUGUAGGAGGGAAGCAAACAUGGCUGCUGGGGGAGAGGGUGGCAGGGGCUUGGAGGCACACAAGGUUGCAGCGGGCAGUGUGUGGGUGGCAUUGAGUGCCCAGCUGAGUAAAUACGGGCUGCCUGCCUCUAUAACACAGAAACAUGCUGCCUUUUAUUCACCACAGUCAGGGAUUGGGCUUGUUGAUUAGAGAGAGAACUUGGAAAAACGAAAUCAGGCAGAGAUGAAUAACUCAUUUUAAUUUUCGGAGCUAUUUUAUCCAAUUUCCGUAAUUCACAAGUUAGGAAAUAAAUGAUAUUAUUCUGAUUCUUCUUAUGGUCAGGGUUAUUCAAUAAAGUGCAAAUUGUCUUCAAUUCAAAGGAAUCAACAGUGCAUUUAUUUCAGGUUAUAGGCCAAAAAAAACCUGAAAAACUCUCCAAGUUAGUUCUGUUUUUAGACUGGCUUUUUGGCCAAAAUUCACUUUCUAAUUCCCGACAAUUCACAGUUUAGUGGUUAUAUCCUUGUUCUGAUCUUUGUCUGAGUAGGUUUGUGCCCCACAUUCAUGUUUAACCUUUUGUGUGGUAUGGUAUGCGGUGAAUCAGGCUCACUGAUGACACUGAAAGAGUUAACUUUUGUUUUCCAUUCUAAGAGUUUAGCCAACCCACCCAGCUAAACUCCAUUUUCAUUGUGUACUUUUGUUUGAAUGGUUGAAAUAAACUGAAUUUUUUUGUACUUUUAUCUUGUGUUGUUUAUUAAGUAUGAAAAUUAUAAUUUUUCAGUUAAAUUACCACAUUGCAGGAAAUGUAGCAGUGAAGUGUGUUCUAAAUCACUUUUGCUCUAAUAGCAAGACAUAACCCUUGUUCUGAAUGAGCUAAGGCUCCUGAUCAUUGAGAACAAGAUGUCUACUGUGCCAUAUAAUGUGGUCUGGAGUUUGGUCAGUGGUGUUGGGUGAGUGGGUACCCAUAGCUUCUGUUGUGUUAACUGUAAAGAUGAAACUCAUUCAUUUUGAAGGCCCUGGACUUAUUAUUCUAGUCAUCCAACCAUACCUGCCUUACUAAAAUUAUUAACCCCUUAUUUUUUAUAUUUGGAGUUAUCUUUUAUUAUGUAGGUAACUUUGAAUUGGUACUUCUAAUUCUUUUGCACAUUUAGAGAGGUCUGUUUUUAUUGCAUGUACAUUUUUGGAGAUGUCUUUGUAAACU